UGAAAGUGUUACAAAAGAGUUACAAGAAAUUAGCUUAUAAGCUUACACAAGAACAAGACCUAAUUUCUACCCAUUUUGUGUCACCCACACUCUCAAUAAUGAAUCCUAAGAGAAAACACAAAAAGAAGCUUUUUGAUCCUUCCAAUGGUGAAAUCUCACUACCCAAGGUGUUUACAAUCUUUAUAUCUAAUCCUAGAGUACAAUGCAAAAAUAAUUUGUAAACCCUAAACCUAAUCCAUUUUGGCGGUAACUUUUCAAAUUUGAUUAUCAUAAGUGCAUGGUUACAAGAGAUACCUCCCAACCAAUCCCUACGACUAAUACCUCAAAUUCGUCCUUGAAUUUUGAAAAAUCGGCAAAUUUCGUCCCUGAAUUUUGCGAAAUAUCAAAUUAGUCCCUGAAUUUUACAGACGUCCAUCAAUUCACUCCCUCCGUCCAAAAUGUCUGUUAGUAGUGAUGAUGUGGCUUCUUGCAUGUUGUGUUGUCUUGUACACGUGUCAGCAAGUCAGCCACGUGUAAGAGACUAAAUUGAUGGAAAUGGUCAAAAUUCGAUAUUUAACAUUUCAGUCUCUUUUUUCCUGUGUUUUCAAUUAUACCCCUCUAUUACCAUUCUCUUUCAUCCUCACAUUUUCACUCAGAAGCAUCAAACAUGUCCCUAGCCUUUCACCUUCCCGCCUAAAUUGUCACCCUCUUCACUUCACCAAAAUCAUCAUCAUCACCGGCGAUCAUCCUUGGAAAAGAUUCGGUUUUGAAGUCAGAUUUCGUGGUUUGUCAAGGAUGGAAGACUCUAUUACGGUAAUCUUGCAUCACGGUGGUUGUUUAGAGCGAGAUGAGUAUUGAAGGCUACAAUACGUUCGUGGUGAGUUUUGUGUUUGGGAGAAAAUGGAUGUUGAUCAGUUAUGCUUGUGGGACAUUGAGAAGAUGGUGAAACGUUCAAGAGGUUACUUUAAGGUAUCUAAAAUGUGGUAUUGGAAGCCGUAUGAAGGUGUUGAAGAUGAUAUAAACAUAUGCUUGACUCCUUAACAACUGAUAAAGACUUAUGUGAUAUGGUACAAGUUGCAAGGGCAAAUGGAAAUGAAGUGGAAAUAUAUGCACAACAUGUGGUGGAUACGGAAUAGGUUGAAAUUGUGCCAUUAAGAAAUGAAGAGAGGGAGGAACUUGAGAGAGUAAUGGAAGAGUCUUUGAAAAGUAUGGGCAAAAGGAGGAUUAACAAGUGAAGAUGAACCAAUUAAUAUUAUGGAGAUUGAUAUUUUAAGUGCUGAGGAAAGAAAUGUGGUGGACUGUUUGGUUGCUAGUGUGCAAAACAGAGUAUAUAAUCAAGAGGAAAAUGUUAAUGGUACUCAAGGAAUGAAGGAUAUGGCUUGUGAUACUCAAGGAAAUGAUGAAUGUAACGCCCUAUUUUAAAUAUUUAAUUAUUUUAAUGA